ACGCUCGACACCUACGGGAGACAGCAGUGGGGAAUAUUGCACAAUGGGGGAAACCCUGAUGCAGCGACGCCGCGUGAGCGAAGAAGUAUUUCGGUAUGUAAAGCUCUAUCAGCAGGGAAGAAACUGACGGUACCUGACUAAGAAGCACCGGCUAAAUACGUGCCAGCAGCCGCGGUAAUCUGAGCGGGCUGGCAAGGC
rnacentral:rRNA from 1 species